GACGAACGCUGGCGGCGUGCUUAACACAUGCAAGUCGAACGGAAAGGCCCCUUUUGGGGGGUGCUCGAGUGGCGAACGGGUGAGUAACACGUGAGUAACCUGUCCUUUUCUCUGGGGUAACUUCAGGAAACUGGGGCUAAUAUCGGAUAGGAGCUCCUGCUGCAUGGUGUGGGUUGGAGAGUUUCGGCGGUUGGGGAUGGACUCGCGGCUUAUCAGCUUGUUUGUGGGGGAGUGGCUUACCCAGGCUUUGACGGGUAUCCGGGCUGAGGGGGUGACCGGGCACAUUGGGACUGGGAUACGGCCCAGACUCCCUCGGGAGGCAGGAGUGGGGGAUAUUGCACCAUGGGUGGAAGCCUGAUGCAGGAAAGCCGUGUUCGGGAUGACGGCCUUCGGGUUGGAAACCGCUUUCGCUCAUGACGAAGCUGUGUGUGACGGUAGUGGGUAAAGAAGCACCGGCUAACUACGUG
rnacentral:rRNA from 1 species